rnacentral:rRNA from 1 species
CCUACGGGAGGCAGCAGUGGGGAAUAUUGGACAAUGGGCGAAAGCCUGAUCCAGCCAUGCCGCGUGUGUGAAGAAGGCCUUCGGGUUGUAAAGCACUUUCAGUGGGGAAGAAAGCCUUGGGGCUAAUACCCUCGAGGAAGGACAUCACCCACAGAAGAAGCACCGGCUAACUCCGUGCCAGCAGCCGCGGUAAUACGGAGGGUGCGAGCGUUAAUCGGAAUUACUGGGCGUAAAGCGCGCGUAGGCGGUCUGAUAAGCCGGUUGUGAAAGCCCCGGGCUCAACCUGGGAACGGCAUCCGGAACUGUCAGGCUAGAGUGCAGGAGAGGAAGGUAGAAUUCCCGGUGUAGCGGUGAAAGGCGUAGAGAUCGGGAGGAAUACCAGUGGCGAAGGCGGCCUUCUGGACUGACACUGACGCUGAGGUGCGAAAGCGUGGGUAGCAAACAGGAUUAGAUACCCCAGUAGUC